rnacentral:lncRNA from 1 species
AACAAAAUUAAAACCUGGAUUUGACCAUUGCCUUGCAGAGGGCCAAAAUCACAGAAGAAAAACAUAAAUUUGACCAUUGCGAAGCAGAGGGCCGAUAACAAAAUUAAAACCUGGAUUUGACCAUUGCCUUGCAGAGGGCCAAAAUCGCAGAAGGAAAACUUAAAUUUGACCAUUGCGAAGCAAAGGGCCGAUAACAAAAAGAAAAACUUGAGCUUAAGGUGCCAGGCGAACUGGGCUUUGGGUGCCAGAAUAAACUGGGCUUUUGUGGGCCAGGUGAAACUGGGCUUAUGUGGGCCCG